UUGGUCCUUUAUUUUUCUGAGGUCCGCCUUACUCUAGAGAGAGAGAGAGAGAGAGAGUAUCUUUUUUUUACCGGAAUACCCCUGUCCUUUCAGAAAAAGUGUGUGCCGCAAUUUGAUAUUUGAGAUCCUCUGUGUUCAUAUUAUCAGUUUUGGGGCACCCUCUGUGAAAAAAAAAAAAACAGAAAAAAAAAAAAAAGAGGUGCGCCCUCUCCACCUUGCCUCUGUUCUUUCGAUUUUUCCUUGUUACCAGCAACUAUUGUUACGUGUUUGGCACUAUCUUUCAACUUUGCAUUAUUGUUUGAUUGUGCUAAUCCUUCAUUUGAGUGCAGCCUUC
rnacentral:lncRNA from 1 species